rnacentral:rRNA from 1 species
GACGAACGCUGGCGGCGUGCUUAACACAUGCAAGUCGAACGGAAAGGCCCUGCUUUUGUGGGGUGCUCGAGUGGCGAACGGGUGAGUAACACGUGAGUAACCUGCCCUUGACUUUGGGAUAACUUCAGGAAACUGGGGCUAAUACCGGAUAGGAGCUCCUGCUGCAUGGUGGGGGUUGGAAAGUUUCGGCGGUUGGGGAUGGACUCGCGGCUUAUCAGCUUGUUGGUGGGGUAGUGGCUUACCAAGGCUUCGACGGGUAGCCGGCCUGAGAGGGUGACCGGCCACAUUGGGACUGAGAUACGGCCCAGACUCCUACGGGAGGCAGCAGUGGGGAAUAUUGCACAAUGGGCGGAAGCCUGAUGCAGCAACGCCGCGUGCGGGAUGACGGCCUUCGGGUUGUAAACCGCUUUCGCCUGUGGCGAAGCGUGAGUGACGGUAAUGGGUAAAGAAGCACCGGCUAACUACGUG